UACGUAGGAUGCAAGCGUUGUCCGGAAUUAUUGGGCGUAAAGAGUUCGUAGGCGGUUGCCUAAGUCUGGGGUUAAAUACAGGAGCUCAACUCCUGCAUGGCACUGGAAACUGGGCAGCUAGAGUGUGGUAGAGGUCACAGGAAUUCCAGGUGUAGCGGUGAAAUGCGUAGAUAUCUGGAGGAACACCAGUGGCGAAAGCGCGUGACUGGGCCACAACUGACGCUGAGGAACGAAAGCCAGGGGAGCGAAAGGG
rnacentral:rRNA from 1 species